UCGUAACAAGGUUUCCGUAGGUGAACCUGCGGAAGGAUCAUUAAUAAACCUAGUCGUUCGCGACGCUAUAGGUAACCCUUGAAUAAACUACCCUUGUUGCUUUGGCGGGCCGCCUCUCGAGGCCAGCGGCUUCGGCUGCUGCGCUGCCCGCCGGAGGACCACAACUCUUGUUUUUAGUGAUGUCUGAGUACUAUAUAAUAGUUAAAACUUUCAACAACGGAUCUCUUGGUUCUGGCAUCGAUGAAGAACGCAGCGAAAUGCGAUAAGUAAUGUGAAUUGCAGAAUUCAGUGAAUCAUCGAAUCUUUGAACGCACAUUGCGCCCUUUGGUAUUCCGAAGGGCAUGCCUGUUCGAGCGUCAUUAUAACCACUCAAGCUCUCGCUUGGUAUUGGGGUUCGCGGCUUCGCGGCUCCUAAAGUCAGUGGCGGUGCCUGUCGGCUCUACGCGUAGUAAUACUCCUCGCGUCUGGGUUCCGGUAGGUUGCUUGCCAGCAACCCCUAAUUUUUUUCAGGUUGACCUCGGAUCAGGUAGGGAUACCCGCUGAACCUAAGCAUAUCA
rnacentral:misc_RNA from 1 species